CGGCCCCCGCCCCCGCUUUACCUUUUCCCCUCGAUUUGACCUAGUUUCCGGGUCUCCGGCGCCGAAAGACGGGCCAUUUCCACGGAUUGACUGCGGGUAGGCGUUCGCCGGCUAGAUUUCCCGGCCAUUUCGGGCGGAUUCCUCCGUUACUUUUAAUUGUGAUGAAUGGCAAGGGGCGCGGCUUUGGACGCUGCUGCUAGAUUUGAGAUUUGCUAUUUACGGGCGCCUCGAUGCCGAAGGCCAGAUCCCCAAAGGGGGUAAGGCAUCAAGAUGCGGUGAGGAAGCACAACUUGGUUCUGAAUUCGGGUAGCGUCAACCCAUUCUGAGGGGGGAGGCCGCCCUGCGAUUCUCGACCAACAGGGAAAGCGUUGGUCUUUUCCAGACAAAAAAUGCAAUCAACAACACAUAUGGCUGUUAUUCUUUAUGAGUUACUAUGUGUUUAGUAUUGUGGCAUUCCUGGGAAGCUUACAAGUGCAGAUAUAGGGAAACUAGCUGCUUCUACUUCAGUUUGAUACAUGUGUAAUACGUACAACCUCAGUUUGAUACAUGUGUAAUACGUACAACC